rnacentral:rRNA from 1 species
UUAAUGAGAGUUUGAUCCUGGCUCAGGACGAACGCUGGCGGCGUGCCUAAUACAUGCAAGUAGAACGCUGAAGAGAGGAGCUUGCUCUUCUUGGAUGAGUUGCGAACGGGUGAGUAACGCGUAGGUAACCUGCCUUGUAGCGGGGAUAACUAUUGGAAACGAUAGCUAAUACCGCAUAACAAUGGAUGACUCAUGUCAUUUAUUUGAAAGGGGCAAAUGCUCCACUACAAGAUGGACCUGCGUUGUAUUAGCUAGUAGUGAGGUAACGGCUCACCUAGGCGACGAUACAUAGCCGACCUGAGAGGGUGAUCGGCCACACUGGGACUGAGACACGGCCCAGACUCCUACGGGAGCAGCAGUAGGGAAUCUUCGGCAAUGGGGCAACCCUGACCGAGCAACGCCGCGUGAGUGAAGAAGGUUUUCGGAUCGUAAAGCUCUGUUGUAAGUCAAGAACGAGUGUGAGAGUGGAAAGUUCACACUGUGACGGUAGCUUACCAGAAAGGGACGGCUAACUACGUGCCAGCAGCCGCGUAAUACGUAGGUCCGAGCGUUGUCCGGAUUUAUUGGGCGUAAGCGAGCGCAGGCGGUUUGAUAAGUCUGAAGUUAAAGGCUGUGGCUCAACCAUAGUUCGCUUUGGAAACUGUCAAACUUGAGUGCAGAAGGGGAGAGUGGAAUUCCAUGUGUAGCGGUGAAAUGCGUAGAUAUAUGGAGGAACACCGGUGGCGAAAGCGGCUCUCUGGUCUGUAACUGACGCUGAGGCUCGAAAGCGUGGGAGCGAACAGGAUUAGAUACCCUGGUAGUCCACGCCGUAAACGAUGAGUGCUAGGUGUUGGAUCCUUUCGGGAUUCAGUGCCGCAGCUAACGCAUUAAGCACUCCGCCUGGGGAGUACGACCGCAAGGUUGAAACUCAAAGGAAUUGACGGGGCCCGCACAAGCGGUGGAGCAUGUGGUUUAAUUCGAAGCAACGCGAAGAACCUUACCAGGUCUUGACAUCCCGAUGCUAUUUCUAGAGAUAGAAAGUUACUUCGGUACAUCGGUGACAGGUGGUGCAUGGUUGUCGUCAGCUCGUGUCGUGAGAUGUUGGGUUAAGUCCCGCAACGAGCGCAACCCCUAUUGUUAGUUGCCAUCAUUCAGUUGGGCACUCUAGCGAGACUGCCGGUAAUAAACCGGAGGAAGGUGGGAUGACGUCAAAUCAUCAUGCCCCUUAUGACCUGGGCUACACACGUGCUACAAUGGUUGGUACAACGAGUUGCGAGUCGGUGACGGCAAGCUAAUCUCUUAAAGCCAAUCUCAGUUCGGAUUGUAGGCUGCAACUCGCCUACAUGAAGUCGGAAUCGCUAGUAAUCGCGGAUCAGCACGCCGCGGUGAAUACGUUCCCGGGCCUUGUACACACCGCCCGUCACACCACGAGAGUUUGUAACACCCGAAGUCGGUGAGGUAACCUUUGGAGCCAGCCGCCUAAGGUGGGAUAGAUGAUUGGGGUGAAGUCGUAACAAGGUAGCCGUAUCGGAAGGUGCGGCUGGAUCACCUCCUUUCUAAGGAA